rnacentral:tRNA from 1 species
GAUAAGAUGGCUGAGUUUAAGCGUUAAAUUGUAAAUUUAACUACGAAGAGUUCUUCUCUUAUCA